AUCUAGACAACGCUGCACGAGCGGUGAGAAGCGACAAAAGUAGGCUGCCAUCUAUAAAUACGUUACAAAAAACGGUUGCGCAUAUUUUAAAAGAAGUAUGCAAGCAGAGUGAAAAUUUGAAACUAUAUGACCUUGUUCAUUACACAACAAACAUCAUAAUACUGAUUACGCGCUAUUGCCUCUAUAACACAGGGUCUCCUUAUCAUUAUUGGAAAGGACGGACCCCAUCGGCUGUCAUGGUUGACCAUGUGGAAGGCCACAGUGAAAGGCGAAACAAGCGAGAAUGACAGGAGCCUGACAAACACAUCGUGAUACAAAGAACUGGAGCAAGAAUUGGGAGUCGCGGGAGAGGAAAAAGCAUUUUCACGACCGUAAUGUUCUAAUGCGGGACGACACAAGACAGACACACACAUCCAUGCAGGACGCCUAAGUGUAGAUAUCCGUUAAAUGAAGCUUCAUAUAGGCUCCGAGCGUCACAUGCAGAUGGAUGAGGACCGGAACUCAAAUAUAGUACAACCCAUUGCGAACGCAAUGUGGGACACCGAACCAAACCCUGUUGUACCUACAGCAGCCUUGUCGAGUGGAGAGAAGUUCCCCGGUGCAACGAUUUACUGUUAAACGAGAUCAGUGAGAAGAAGGACAAAUGGCAGGGGAGGAACUGGCUAGAUAUGAUCCCGUGACGUCGACCGAUCCAUCUUCGCAUUUUCCGUUUACCCAUGAUUUCCUGCCUUACCCGAACAAUGGCCUUUGUUAAAGACCAGCGAUGCCGUUCGCAGAAGAUGCGUUCAUUCUGCCUUUUGUUUUUCAACCAUGGCCAGGCCAGGAGCCGACGCGAACACAAUGUGAUAUGCUCACCAGCAGACUACGGUAUACUACAAGCUCUUCAAUCGUCCCCGUAGCCGUCAUCGGCUGAGUCGUCGCUCCGGACCCACCGACAACAAGUGGAUAUAAUGCGGCGGCUGCUGCUGCUGCUGCUACUGCUAGUAGCGAUCGUGGUAAUAGUGUUGGCGACGGUAGUGGCGAUGAGGCCUCUUCAUUGUUCCCGAUUACGGCUUGCUCUCCAUCAUAGCCAGGAGCCCCUCUGUAGUUUCGUACUUUUUCGAAGAACUGCUUCCUAGUUGUUCAGCAGUCACUCUCAGGCACCGCAGCUGUCCCUUGCAAUUGCAUGCCCCAUACCGGACUUCCUUUUAAAGGACCGUUUGCGUAUUCCCUUAGCAGCACUUCACGUGCUCACCGGCAUGUGCAACACGGUGAGACUUUGGGGGCGAAGUGACGAUUAUUGUUGUUAGUAAUAAAUGAAUUAAUGAAGGAACAACUAGCGAAUCUCCAGUGUCGUGUCGGCUGUGCUGUGAGAGCGCGAGGGGUAAAUGUUCAUAACGACGCAAUCAAUGCACUGGGGCAACUGACAGGCUAUCGUGCCCCUUCUAGCCAUGGCUCCCGAAAAAGUGGUAUUAUUGAGGAGGAAGGAGAAAGUCGGCGAAAAUGUGCAAUGCUGCUUAUGGUGAUCUCUCUUCGGCGAUCCUUCUCUUGUUUUCUGUGGGAUAGCAACUCCUGAUGUUCUUUUCGUUGGUGCCCUGACGUGAAGCACUCACCAUGUCGGUUAAAGAUGGAACAUUUGAAGGGCAUACAUAGAACACUGGUAGUAUUCUAGUGUGAUAAAUGAUCGUCGAAAUAAUUAAUGAGUACAUUCACCUAUACGAUGUCUAAGCGAACUAGGGGUCGCCUCAAAUAAGCAUCUUCCUCUAUGGAAACCUCGCACACAAACGCGCAAGCACGUAAAGAGACGCUUGUAUAGAUGGACUAGAGCACGGAAGCAUUCUGCUGUUCCCUGUGACAGUUUGCUCCCUAAACUGUCUGCACUGAUUUUGGUUCUCGGUGUUCUCCCUUUUAGGAAAACUACCAGCGAACAAAGGGAAGCAUGAACGGAGUCCAUUUUUUGGCUCACAUACAAUUAUUACACUUAAUGGAUGUUAAAGAACUGCCGUCAUUUGUAAACGUGUUAUAUAACCACCGGGAGUGGAACGAAUCCCGCUUUCAACGUGAUCUCCUCUAAUCGUCGUAAAUGUCGUAGUUAACUCUCGCAAUUACCCCAAUCGGAAAUUUUUAGUUUCCGCAAAAAGAAACUCUUCUACGCAUCAUUGUGAGUUGAUCGCGUUUUGGAAAGCUUCAAAAAGUGUUAGCUUUUCUCAAACAGUCAUCGGGGUGAUGUUAUCGAAAUACCUUAUAAGUUAAUAUAAUAUAUUCAAUUUGGUCAAGUCAUCUUAUAAAAUUUAGA